UGGAAACCUGCAAGGACGCCGCCAAUUACCGUCUAUGAACCUGCGAAGCUUGCAGUGUGUGAGGAUGCGCAGAACGAGGCGCUCAGCGCUCUGCGUCCAGUUAAUCAUCCGGGCUGCCUUGAACUGAGCCCACUGUGGUGGAAAUCGUCUCUGCCUGCCUUUCCAGAGGGCGUGACACUGUGAGAAGAAGUAGUGUGUCCCAGGGCCAUAGCACCAGCUGCCAGGCCUGCAAGGCCAUUGGCUUAACCUGCCUCAGGAGCUAGUGGAAGGCAAUGGUCCCCAGUGAGCUGUUCCCAGAGCGGUUCUCAGCUGCCUGGAAGCUACUCAUGAGGAAGCAACAGGAACUCCCAGCCAUAUACCUGGGCUGGAGAUGCAUAUGGACACCGGUGGAUGAACCAGACUGACCAGCUCAGCUCCCAUGCCUCAACCCAGUUUCCAAGGGAGUCCUAUAAAAGCCCCUGAGGCAGCAGUUGGGUGGUACCCCUCUCCGGGACCCGCUUCUGCUGCUCAGGAGCUCUACUUACUGUCUCUUGAGUGUGAGCCUAUAAUAAACUCCUUUCUAAAAUCUCU